rnacentral:rRNA from 1 species
CGGACGGGUGAGUAACACGUGGGUAACCUGCCCAUUAGAGGGGGAUAACAUUCGGAAACGGAUGCUAAUACCGCAUAGUUUCAGGAAUCGCAUGAUUCUUGAAGGAAAGGUGGCUUCGGCUACCACUAAUGGAUGGACCCGCGGCGUAUUAGCUAGUUGGUGAGGUAAUGGCUCACCAAGGCAAUGAUACGUAGCCGACCUGAGAGGGUGAUCGGCCACACUGGGACUGAGACACGGCCCAG